ensembl:snoRNA
CAUGCACCCAAACCCAAAGCUCCCACCUGCGGUGGUGCGAGCUUGUCUGGUGUGCUGACAGAACCUGGGCCCCUGUCGCCUUUCUGGGACUCUUCUGUGUCUCUGAAAGUGAAUUCAGGGGUCAACAAUG